rnacentral:misc_RNA from 1 species
GAAAUGCGAUAAUUAAUGUGAAUUGCAGAAUUCAGUGAAUCAUCGAGUCUUUGAACGCACAUUGCGCCCCCUGGUAUUCCGGGGGGCAUGCCUGUCCGAGCGUCAUUGCUGCCCUCAAGCACGGCUUGUGUGUUGGGCUUCCGUCCCUGGCAACGGGGACGGGCCCAAAAGUCAGUGGCGGCACCAUGUCUGGUCCUCGAGCGUAUGGGGCUUUGUCACCCGCUCCCGUAGGUCCAGCUGGCAGCUAGCCUCGCAACCAAUCUUUUUAACCAGGUUGACCUCGGAUCAGGUAGGGAUACCCGCUGAACUUAAGC